GCAAGUCGAGCGGAUGACGGGAGCUUGCUCCUUGAUUCAGCGGCGGACGGGUGAGUAAUGCCUAGGAAUCUGCCUGGUAGUGGGGGACAACGUUUCGAAAGGAACGCUAAUACCGCAUACGUCCUACGGGAGAAAGCAGGGGACCUUCGGGCCUUGCGCUAUCAGAUGAGCCUAGGUCGGAUUAGCUAGUUGGUGGGGUAAUGGCUCACCAAGGCGACGAUCCGUAACUGGUCUGAGAGGAUGAUCAGUCACACUGGAACUGAGACACGGUCCAGACUCCUACGGGAGGCAGCAGUGGGGAAUAUUGGACAAUGGGCGAAAGCCUGAUCCAGCCAUGCCGCGUGUGUGAAGAAGGUCUUCGGAUUGUAAAGCACUUUAAGUUGGGAGGAAGGGCAGUAAGCUAAUACCUUGCUGUUUUGACGUUACCGACAGAAUAAGCACCGGCUAACUCUGUGCCAGCAGCCGCGGUAAUACAGAGGGUGCAAGCGUUAAUCGGAAUUACUGGGCGUAAAGCGCGCGUAGGUGGUUUGUUAAGUUGGAUGUGAAAGCCCCGGGCUCAACCUGGGAACUGCAUCCAAAACUGGCAAGCUAGAGUACGGUAGAGGGUGGUGGAAUUUCCUGUGUAGCGGUGAAAUGCGUAGAUAUAGGAAGGAACACCAGUGGCGAAGGCGACCACCUGGACUGAUACUGACACUGAGGUGCGAAAGCGUGGGGAGCAGACAGGAUUAGAUACCCUGGUAGUCCACGCCGUAAACGAUGUCAACUAGCCGUUGGAAUCCUUGAGA
rnacentral:rRNA from 1 species